GGCACUCUAAUGAACUGCCGGUGCAAACCGGAGGAAGGUGGGAUGACGUCAAGUCCUCAUGCCCUUAUGGGUAGGGCUUCCACGUCAUCAAUGGUCGGGACAAAGGUCCCAACCCGCGAGGGGGAGCCAAUCCCAGAAACCCGAUCGUAG
rnacentral:rRNA from 1 species